rnacentral:rRNA from 1 species
UUUUUGUGGACGAAGGGUCUCGCGGGAGCAGAUAUUGGUAUCCCGUGCCCGUUCCGCGCGGCUUGCCUAAAAACGGAGAUCCGGCGGCGAAACGUCACGUCUAGUGGUGGUUGAUGAGGCCUAACGGCCGACCAGUUCGCGGCGUGAUCGUUUGUCGCACGGAAGUCUCGGACGACACCUUGGACGCCCUCUAACGGGCGUGCUACUGUU